CGACCACUCCGUCCUGCUGCCUCUGGCCGCCUCCCAAACCUACUGCUGCCUGAACCGUCCUCUACCCCCGGGAUCCAAAUCGAUGGGCGAGUUCGUCGGUGAUUGCCGCUGCCGAUGAUAGGAGCUCGCCACACCGCGGGAAUGGUGGUGAGGAGACAAGGAGGAAGGGAUGUUCUCGUUGCCCAUGUUGCUACUUCUAGCAGUCCACCCGGAGCUGUUGCUGGCCAUCUUCUGGCGACAACCUCUCUGAGCUCCUGCUGGCCAACAAGCUGCUGACCUAUCUGUGGCCACUGUUUCUGGUGCCUGGUUGCUUCAUACCGAAAUGUGGUGUAUCUGAAUUGGCAGCUUUGGCCACCUGCAUGGCUUCCCUGGCUUCUGAUGUGCCCCUGGAGCCUGCCACUAGUUUGCCAUGCUGACGGCACAUGCAGCAGCGGUAGGAGCCGUCGAGUGAUCCAUUGGGAAUCUGUGCGUCCUCAGAGCAACUACAGCAGGUGCAGUUGUCGGAUCGGUUGGGAACAUCUACGUGGAGGUGGCCUCCCACUUCUCCCAGAAGGGCAAGAAAGGGCCCUAACUAGUACGCCGCCAUCCUCUGCCAGGACCGUUCUCUAGUCUCGGGAUCCAUAUGGAUGGACGAGUUCCUUGGUGGUGGUCGCGCCCGACGGGAGGAGCUCGCCACACCGCAGGAAUGGAGACGGGGAGACAAGGAGGAAGAGAUGGUUCUCGCUGCUUGUGUUGCUGUUGCUGGUAGUCCACCCAGAGCUGUUGUUGGCCGUCUUCCGGCGACCACCUCUCCGAGCUCCUGCUGCCCAACAAGCUGCUGCCCUUGCUGACGUGUUGCAGCUAUCCGUGGCCGCGGUUUUUGGUGCCUCGUUGUUGCAUACCGAAACAUGGUGUUCCUUGGUCAGCACCACUUUGGCUGCCAGCAUGCCUUCACUGGCUUCUGAUGCGCCCCUGGAGCCUGCCACUGGCCUGCCGCGCUGAUGGUACCUGGAGCAGGGUAGAAGCAGUCCAAUGGUCCAUUGGGGUUCUGUGCAUCCUCGGAGCACCUAUAGCUGGGGCAUGUGUCGGAUGAGAACAUUGUGUAGGCGGAAGUAGCAUCCGGCAUCGCUCCUCUCCUAGAAGGGCAAGAAAGGGCACUAACCAGUACAUCGUCAUGCUCUGCCAGGUUACUGUGCAGUGAUUUAAUUAUCAAAUUGGUGAAAUACCAAGCCUCUGUUGACUUGGAGUAGGCUUCAUGAACUUGUAUCUUAAUCCUUGAUAUCAGAAUGGCAGCUGUAGGAGACGAAGAGGUUGAGGGAUAGGAUCUGUGUGAUCAUGGGCCAGUGUGGAAAAUGUGCAGCGGCGCUCUCUUGCUGGCGACGAAGACCAGCUCAGCCGCCACACGGUUGGGCCUCCUUGUUGGGCCUUUCUGCCACUUGGACCAAGAGGGCAACCCUGCUUCUCCCUAACUGCGGGACAAUGGAAGGUUGAUGCUGUUGUACGUGUUCAUUGACGUGCUUAUGCCAUUUGAAGGUUUUCAGGGAAAUGGCAAGAAUGUCACCAAUCGGGAGAAGCACAUAGACUCAAAUUUUGCAAAGGUUGUUGAGCUGAGUGAUAGCGAGAGGUACUCAUGCUGGAUGCAUCUAUGUCAUGUAACUUGGUUUGAACUUUGAGAGGUUAAGGGGUCCAUGGAUGCGUUUGAGCAAUCCAAUGGAGAUGAGCAGCUGGACCUGUAUUUGAUGGGAGGCCGAAUGACCACUCCUUGACAUGUGUGAUACAUAGGAUCCCGCCGUUGAUCAAGGCUUAUCUUUGUAAUGCUCCAGACCAGAAGCUUUUGUAAUGCUCGAGACAAUAAAGUUAUAAUAGUGUUGUAGAUGUUUCCUUUGUCGUAUGUAAUUUCUUUUU